rnacentral:rRNA from 1 species
UACGGAGGGUGCAAGCGUUAUCCGGAUUUACUGGGUUUAAAGGGUGCGUAGGUGGGUUGGUGAGUCAGUGGUGAAAUACUUUCGCUUAACGAAGGAACUGCCAUUGAUACUACCAGCCUUGAAUACAGUGGAGGUGGGCGGAAUAUGUCAUGUAGCGGUGAAAUGCUUAGAUAUGACAUAGAACACCGAUAGCGAAGGCAGCUUGCUACACGAGUAUUGACACUGAGGCACGGAAAGCGUGGGGAUCAAACAGG